rnacentral:rRNA from 1 species
AGUGAACGCUGGCGGCGUGCCUAAUACAUGCAAGUCGAACGAAGUGGCGCACGGGUGAGUAAUAUAUAGUUAAUCUGCCCUACACAGAGGAACAACAGAUGGGAACGACUGCUAAUACCUCAUAGUGUAGGAUGAGACUAUACCGUAUCAGCUAGUUGGUAAGGUAAUGGCGUACCACGGCUAUGCGGCGUAACUGGUCUGGGCGGAUGAUCAGGCACGUUGUAACUGAGACCCGGUCCCAACACCUGCGGGGAGCAGCAGUAAGGAAUACUGCGCAAGGGGGAAAACCCUGACGUAUCAACGCCGCGUGGGGGAUGACACUUUUCGGAGCGUAAACUCCUUUUAUCAGGAAAGCGGUACCUGAUGAAUAAGCACCGGCUAACUCCGUGCCAGCCGCCGCGGUAAUAC